rnacentral:lncRNA from 1 species
AGAAACUAAAUCCAAACACAAUUACAAAUUUAAUAAAACGUGGCCCAAGUUACAAGCCCAUCUGUUAGUCCAAAUUACAGCCCAAGCUAUUGAACUAUUUCAGCAGAAAAAAACUGAACCCUAGCAGCAGUUUCUUCGGCGCUGCAGCAACUGCCCAUGUCGCGGCAACCGUUUCCACCCACGUUCAGCAAACCCCCACACCCACCAUGCACGUUCUUCACCUGCAACAAAACCACAAACAAUAGCAAGGAUCGAAUAUACAACAAUAAAUUGUAAAUGAGUCGGGAUAAAAAAAGGCCAAUCAAUCUUUGUAAAAGGGUUAGCAAAUUUUGGUAUUGAAAAUUAAAGGAAAUAAAGAAGAAAAACAGAAAAGCAAGGAUUUUGAAGGUGAUUUUCUGGGUCUAUUUUUUUUUCUUACUCACUGAUUUCUUUGUUUGUUUUUCUUUUCUUUUCCUUUGCACACCAAACAAAAAUAAAAGGAGGAGGAGAAAUCCUUACCAAAAGAGGCGCGCCGUCGACAUCUUUGCUUCUCUUCGUCCAAAUCGAAGUUGGAAGGGGGGAGUUUGGCUUGAAAACAGAGGAGAAGGUGGAGCAGUCCUUGUGGUGGCUGCUGUUGCAGAAAAGGGAAAUGAUUUUAGGGUUUUAAAAUGGGAUUUUAUAGGGUUCAAAAUGGGCCAUUUACGAAAUUGGUCCCCUUGUUUUUACAGUUUUGUAAAUCAUUUUUUAUUUCUUUUAAAUUUCGUAAUAUGUUUUAUUUCUGUUUCAAAUUGUUCCAAAUGAUGUGCAGCAUUUUGGUCAGUUUGGGUAAAUUUCCCUUUCGGUCCUCUUCCUAUUGUGCGUGUUUUGAAUUGCUCCCUUUCUCGUUUUCUAUUUUUGAAUUUAACCUUUAAACUCUGUUUAUUUUCAAAUUAAUUCUUAAUUUAUCAUUUUAUAUAUAUUUUUUAAAUACUGUUAAAUUGUAUUAUUAUUACUGUAUUAUUGUUAGCAUUUAUUAUUAUCACGAAUAUUUCCAUACCAAUAUAUAUGCAUAUAUGUAUCUUAUUAUUUAAAUAUAUAUAUGAAUAUAUUUUAAAUGGUUUUAAAUACAUAUGCAUAACUUAUAUAUUUUAUUAUUACUUUAUUCUUCUUAGUUUUAUUACGUAUCUAUAUUUACACUUUAUAAUAUUCAUAUAGUUUUUUUUCGUAUUUUAUAAUGCAAAUAUAUAUACAUUUUUUAUAAUAUGUAAGUACACACUAUUCAAAGUUGUUAUAAAUAUAUUUUUUGCAUUUUUCUUAUAUAUAUAUACACGUUUUCAUAAUUUAUUAAUAUAUUUUACUUAUAUGUUUAUAUACCUAUCCAUAUUUUAUAAUUUAUUUUCAUAACUUUCAUACAUGUUUUCAUAUAUGCAUAUACAUAUCUUUAAAAUUUACUUAUAUAUCAUAUUUUAUUUUGUGAAUACGUGUACAUAUAAUUUAAAUUAAGGUAAUGGUUUCAUGUUAUGCAUUAACAUUUUAGCAUAUUUUUAAAGAAAAUAUCUUUUGGUUUCAUCAAAUCAUUAAAAUCGUUUUUAAAUUUUAAAUAUUUGGUAAUCAUGAUUCUCGAGAAAGAUCGUGUCCUAACUUACUGGAUCGUGAUCAUUUUUCGAUGAAUUUAGAAAGCUAAGUAUUUAUUUUGCAAUAAAUUCGUAAUUUUCAAAUAAAACCUUAUUCUCGGGAAUUCAAAAUGUCGGGUCCUAACUUACUGGUCGUGACAUUUCGUUAUCUCGAAAUAAGAAUUUCUGAAAUAAAAAGCAAUAUUCGGUAUUUUGAAGAUAUAAAAUAUUGUGCCCUAACUUACUGAGUGUGGUGUUUUAUUUCUUUGAAAUGAGAAUGUUUUAUCAUUUUAGAUUCAUUCACGGGUUAAAAAUUUCUAUUUAAAAUCUUUUCAAAUUUUCGACAUCAAGACAUAAAAUAAUCAAAUUUGGUACCGAUUUUUAGGCGUCACGAGGGUGCUAACCCUUUCUCGUGCGUAACUGACUCCCGAACCUGUUUUCUCAAAUUUUGCAGACCAGAAUUGUUUUUUUUUGGUGAGCCGAUCACACCUUAAUAAAUGAUCGGUGGCGACUCCAAUUUUUGUUUUUAAAGUCGAUAACUUAUUUUUGUUUUCAAAAAAAUGGUUUCGACAGCUUGGCGACUCCACUGGGGACCUUCGAGAGUCGAGCCAUAAAUUGAUUAUUUGGUAUCUUUUUGUCGAGAAUUAAAGAUUUUUUUUAAACCAUGAUUUCCCUUUUGCAUUCAUUGAUUUUUCAUUGUUAUAUAUUUGCUUGAUUAGCUUAAGGCUGUUAGCUUAUUUGCAUUUUGCAUUUCAUGGUCAAUUUUACCCUUCUAAGUGGGAGUGAGAAGCUAGUCCUUCGUGAGGUUUUCACCUCCGUGCAGGGUAGUGGAUCGCUUUCGGAAUACAUCUGUACCUAUGUCUUCGUGAGAUUUUCAUCUCCGUGCAGCCAUAGGGAAAUGUAUUCCCCUGAACUGAACUCGGUUUGUAUGAGCCUAUAAUGGGUGAAGAUCGAGGAAUCUGCUGGUUCGGGUACCUUUACUCUAGAAGCCAAAACCUCAUAUAGUGAACCUUAGGAACCUACCCUAGGUAGAAUUACUUUGAACCUUAGUAGACACCUAAUUAGGAGUUUUUACUAUUUCUUGGUUGUAUUGUAUUUAAUUGUUACUGAUUUCUUGUGUUUUACUCUGAUUGCAUGGCAUUACAAUUACAUGGCAUUCCAUUAUAAAGGCGUUGGUUCAUAUUCGGUUGCUAAACAGAAAGCUUACCAUGGGAAAUGGGUUUCUUGAUAGAGUGGAGGACAAUGCGGCUGUCCGAACUUGGGCUGAGAUGACACAGCGCGAAAAAGGUGAUAGUUUGGCCGAGGGAUACGUAUCAGAAUUAUGGGACUUCACCCGUGUCAGCGUAGCUCAAAAUAACUUGCAGGAGUUGAAGGAGAUUUGGGAUCAGUGGAAUAAUGAGGUUAGGCAGUUAUUCUAUUCAAAUUAUGAGGAUUUACCUUAUUUACUUGAUAUGAAGGUAGAUAAGCGUCUUUUUCGAGCUCUUGCCCAGUUUUGGAACCCGGCCUACAGUUGCUUCACGUUUGGAAAGGUUGAUUUGGUGCCUACAAUAGAGGAGUACGUGGCAUUACUUCGGUGUUCGAGGAUCCAAGUAGAAAGAAUCUAUUCGAAAGCGGUAAAUGUGCCAACCUUCUUAAGGAAGCUGAUGAACAUAACGGGGAUGAGCGAGCAAUGGGUUACAGCUCGGAUUAAGCAAAAGGGGGAUAGUAGAUGCAUUCAUUGGAAAACUUUGAAGGACCUCAUUUUAGUGUACCCAGACACGAGGAAGAAGGUGGACGUCUUUGCUUUAAGUAUUUAUGGUUUGAUUGUGUUUCCUAAGAUAUUGGGGCAUGUUGACGAGGCGGUUACUGACUUAUUCGAUCGACUUGAUAAGAGAGUUACGCCAGUCCCGGUAAUUUUGGCAGAAACCUUCAGGUCGCUGAAUGCAUGCCGAAGAGCGGGAGAGGGUAGGUUUAUUGGAUGUGCACAGCUUCUACUUGCUUGGUUCCACAGUCACUUCUGGAAGGAGGAUAAGGUUUCAUAUCGGGUCUUCUCUGAAAGCUAUUCACCAUUGAAAGAGGUAGUGGCUACUCCUAGGAGAGAUGACAUCUCGGAGGAGAAAUGGAUGGCAAUUUUUCAGAAUUUGCAAGAGGAGGAUAUUGAGUGGAGAGCUCCAUGGUUGCUUCUAGAUGAGGUCCUAUAUCGGUGUGGGGAUUUCGACUGGGUCCCUUUGCUUGGAAUUUGGGGAGCUAUUGGUUAUGCCCCAUUGUUAGUGUUAAGGCAAUACAGGUCAAGACAGUUUGUGCCUGCAACUCAUGGACUGGCUAAGUGUGAAUUCUCGUAUAAAGAUGAUGGUUACAAAAAGAAAGCUCGUGAUAUGGCCAAUGCGUGGAAUCAAACUCGCCGAAUGAAGAGAUUAGCUGUGGGUCCAAUGACAACUCUCGAGUACAAUGAGUGGUGGGUUAAGAGGAUCAACGAUAACAUUCCUGGGCCGAGUCUAGAAAAUAGUCAGUCGAUAGAGGAGCAUUUGCGUGUCAUCCCUAUUGAGCUGGAGAUCAUAAAACAAGACUUUGAAAAGAAGAAUGCAGAAUUAGAGAAGAAAAUAGAGCAGAUGGAGGAAGAAAAUGUGAAUUUGAGACUGGAUGUAGAUGUUCAGAAACUCGAGGCUGAUAAACUAAGAAAAGGGAAGAAUAAGGCUGAGGAAGAGCUAGAUAGCUUAAAGACCGACUAUAAGAACCUGCGUUUGUCGAUGAGAACUGCAGGGCUCAGAAAAACUUCAGAGCAGUGGCGUGAAGAGAUUCGAGAAGAAAAAACAGGUCAGACAGGUGGGAAAAAAAAUUCCAAGAAAUGCAAGCACGAAAUAAAGCCUUAGAGAAGAGCUUGUUAGAGAGCCAAAAGGAAAAUGGAGAACUAAAGGACAGAGUAGUUGAGUUAGAAGGGUCUCUCCGUCAACAUAGAAGUUGAAAUUCUGUAAUAGAGCUGAAAGCAAGCCUGAGUAAGAUCGAAGAAAUGAAAGGUAAAAUAAAAGAGUUGGAAGCAGCAUUACAAAGUUGUGAGGGUCGAAUCAAGCAUCUAGAGGCAAAUGAAGGUCGUCAAAAUGAGCAGCUUCAUUAUUUUCAGGAUCAAGUCAGAAAUAGGGAUCACGUUAUGGGAGAAGCUGUAGUGCAGAUUCGUGAAGUGGCAAAUCACUUGCAAACUUUGGCGGUACAAGCCGACACGUUGAGCGUAAAGUUUGAGCUAGAGUCAGAUCGAGGACAAGAGUUAACAUCAUUGCUUAAAAAGAUCAAGGUCUUAAGUAUUAGGGCAAAGCCAUAUUUGUAGCCCAUUCUAUGUAAAGAGAUUUAUUUUCUAAUAAAGUUUUCUGAAAGUAAUUGAAAUUAGAAUUAACACCUUUUCUGCAUUGCAUUUUCAUACAUCGCAUUGCAUGCAUUAGCAAAUUAUCAAAGGGUUCUGAUUAAUCAAAAUCAUUCCUCAGUUAACCUGGAAUCUAACCAGCCAAUUCAGCAUCGUUACGGUACACGAGCGAAAUCAAGAAAUAUGGACCAAAAGUUGGAAAAGCUCGAAGGGUUCCAAAAAGAAAUGCAAGAUCAGCUUCAGCAGCAAAUGAAGGAACAACUCGAGAAAAUUCAACAAAGUCUGAUGGAUAAAAUGGAGGAAUCACAAGGAAGUAUGAUGACAAAGUUAACGCGAUUGUUGACCGAAGAGAAAGAUAAGGGAAAGAACUCUGUAACAAAUAUUGAAGAGGAAGAUGAGGAUGGACUCCAGUAUCCUCCAGGCUUCACUCCUUUACAUGUGUAGCACCAAGCGAAAGUGUACCCGCGUAAAUCUUCUGUUACGAUUAGGCCUCAGCAAGUUCAAGCCAAUGCUUCAAGGUCGAUGAAUUUUCAGGUCGGAUCAGGCUCCAGUCCUGAGAAUAAUACUGCCAAUCCUAUUGUUCCUGAUUUCGAUGAGGCAGUUGAAAAAGAGAAAACAAAAGAGGAAUUACCGAAACAAUUUGAAGAAAGAUGGAGGUGGAUUGAGGAGAAAUUCAAAGCGAUAGAGACUACUGAAGGAUGUCAUGGGAUGGAUGCUAAGGAUUUAAGUUUGGUACCGGAUUUAGUGCUUCCGUAUAAGUUUAAAAUGCCAGAUUUCGAGAAGUAUAAUGGGACCACCUACCCUGAAGCCCACAUUACUAUGUUUUGUAGGCGAAUGACUGGGUAUGUCAAUAACGACCAGUUAUUGAUACACUAUUUUCAGGAUAGCCUCACGGGGGCUGCGUCAAAAUGGUAUAAUCAAUUAAGCCGUGCUAAGAUUAGCUCUUGGAGGGAUUUAACGCAAGCUUUUAUGAAGCAGUACGGUCAUGUAGCAGAAAUGGUUCCUGAUAGGAUCACUUUACAGAACAUGGAGAAAAAGUCGAAUGAAGGUUUUAGACAAUAUGCUCAGAGGUGGAGAGAGGUGGCAGUGCAGUUCCAGCCACCGCUUCUUGAAAGAGAAAUGACGAUGCUUUUGUAAAUACGCUAAAGGCCCCUUUCAUCACACACAUGCUAGGCAAUGCCACGAAAAAUUUUGCUGGCAUAGUCAUGAGCGGUGAGAUGAUUGAAAGUGCUGUAAAAAGCGGGAAGAUAGAUUUUGGAGAUAAUAACAGAAGACAAAAUUCAAAGAAAAAAGAAGGUGAGGUAAACAACGUGAAUACACACAGCAAGUCAAUUACGGUGAAUCAGCCCAGAAAGGUGGUGGCAGGUCAACAGGGUUCAUCAAAACAGGAAUCUGGUACAAGGCCAAAUAAUGAGAGGCCUUAGUUUACACCCAUUCCUAUGUCGUACAAAGAGUUGUAUCAGAAUUUAUUUAACGCGCAUGUUGUUGCCCCAUUUUAUUUGACCCCAUUACAGCCUCCAUAUCCUAAAUGGUAUGACGUAAAUGCACAAUGCGAUUACCAUGCAAGAGUUACGGGGCACUCUAUAGAGCAUUGUACUGCCUUUAAAAAGCUUGUUGAGAAUCCAUUACCCAAACAUACUGAUGCAGGGGUAAACAUGGUAGGUAAAGGUACGGGGAAGAAGGUCAAGGAGAAUAUUGCUGAGGUAAGGAUCCCUUUGAGAAGGGUUUGGAAGGAAAUGGUAAGAAGAGGGUUAAUUGUUUCGGAUUCAGUCGAAGGUGAUGAAACUCAAAAUUGUUAUGAGUUCCAUCAUGAGGUGAGACAUGAAAUUCAGGGUGUAAGAGGUUCAGAGCUCUGAUCCAGAGCAUGAUGGAUACUAGAGAAAUGGAGUUUUUUGAAGAGGAAGAAAGAAAGGAAAAUAUAUGCGCAUCGGAGUCAGAAACGAGGAUUCCGAAGAUAAUCAUCUCGCGCCCUAAGUUUACUAAAAUUGGGGCACAAAUGACACCGAAGGUUGUUAUUCAAAAGCCGGUAAAGUUUUUGUAUAAGGAUAACAGGAAGGUCCCUUGGAAUUAUGAAUGCGAGGUAACGAUUGCGGGGAAAGAAGCUUCAGUUAGUGUUGAGAGAGAAAACCAAAAGACCGGUUCUUAUAUGAAUACCGAGGAGUACUGUGGUCAGAUAAAUGCUGAAACAGAAUCAGUAGAGGGAAAAGUCUUUGCAGCAGAGCAAAAGGAAGAGAAGAAGGCUGAAUUAAGGCCAUUGAUUAAUGAGCCAAUAAAAGAAGAAGAAGCCACUGAAUUCUUGAAAUUUUUAAAACACAGUGAGUAUAGUGUUGUAGAGCAGCUGCAUAAACAGCCGGCUCGUAUAUCGGUGUUGGCCUUGCUCAAGAAUUCAGAGGUGCAUCAAAAUGCGCUGAUGAAGGCGUUAAAUGAAACAUAUGUGGCAAGUGAUAUUUCUGUCAACCAAUUGGAUUGGUUGAUCAACAAUAUAAGCGCUGAUAAUUUUAUCUUCUUCAACGAUGACGAAAUACCACCUAAAGGUAUGGGGUCUACUAAAGCUCUGCACAUUACUGCUCGGUGUAAAAGAAGCUUGGUGUCGGGAGUUUUAAUUGAUAAUGGGUCUCCAUUGAAUGUACUGCCCUUAUCUACUCUCAAUAGGCUACCUGUGGAUAGCUCACAUAUGAAAACAUGUCAAAACGUGGUAAGAGCGUUCGAUGGGAUGGAAAGGAAGGUUUUGGGGAGGAUUGAGAUACCGUUGCUGAUAGGCCCGAAUACUUAUGAAGUAGAUUUUAUUGUAAUGGAUAUCAAGCCUUCAUAUAACUGUUUAUUAGGCAGACCUUGGAUACAUUCGGCGGCGGCCGUGCCUUCAACGCUGCAUCAGAAGUUAAAAUUGGUGACAGAAGGACGGUUAGUGACAAUAAAUACCGAAGAAAGUAUUAUUGCGUCAGUGACCAGCAAUGCACCAUAUGUGGAGACGGACGAAGAGGCGGUGGAAUGUUCUUUCCGGACUUUAGAGUUUAUUAAUACAACAUUUAUUGCUGAGGGGAAUAGAAUUUCAGUACUGAAGAUAUCCAAGACUACAAGAAUGGACCUUCAAUUAAUGGUGGAAAGAGGAGUUGUACCCUGAAAAGGUUUGGGAAGAGAUUUGCAAGGAAGAGUUGAAGCACCACUGAUGAAAGAAAAGUUUGAUAGCUUUGGUAUGGGUUAUAGACCAAAUGUAAAACGAAGAAGAAGGGAAAUAGAGAGAAGACAUGAGAGAAUAAAGGCACGCCUGAGUGGAAAUGAAGUUAGUUGGGAGCCUAUGGUUUUUCCUCACAUAUCCAAGACCUUCGUAUCAGGAGGGUUUAUUCAUCCGGAACAAAGAGUGCUAGAGGUGGAAGGUGUUGAAGAAAUAUUAGGAGAUGUUCACAUCAAUACCCUAGACACGGUUGAAAGAGAGACUUGGCUGGAGAUUCGCCCUUACGAGCCUGGAAGUGAUCUAGACAAUUGGACUGCGGAAGAGAUUCUUGUAGUUUUUAGAGCUUGUUCAGAGUAAAUAUGCAGAACAUCCUUGUCGAUUUGACUUAAAAUAUAAUUUCUUUAUGGAUUAGGCACAUCUUGGAUAUUAUAAUAAAUAUACUUUUUCGUAUGCAUUUUUGAGCCAGUAUUCUUUUAUUCUUUUUUUCGAGUAAUUAUUCUUUUAUUCUUUUUUCUACAUCAUUCUUUAUUCAUUUAAUAAUCAUAUUUUGUUCAUAAAUUCAUAUAUUCUUUGUAUAUUCUUUGGCACCUAUCAUAGGUCCCCAGAUAUCAAUGAUAUGAGUGACGCUGCUUCAGACUCAGAAUCACCUUUCGAACGAGACAGAUGUUUAGAAAGAUCACAGAAUUUUAAAGAUGACAUAGACUGUGAUGUAUCUCCGGACUUAUUGAGAAUGGUAGAAGAGGAGGAUAAGCAAAUCUUACCUCAUAAAGAAUCAUUGGAGAUUGUGAGUCUAGAGGAGGGAAAAGAAGUAAAGAUCGGAACUGACAUUUCUGCUAAGACAAAGUAGGACCUCAUUGAGUUACUCCGGGAAUUCAAAGAUGUCUUUGCAUGGUCAUAUCAGGAUAUGCUUGGGUUGAGCACUGAUAUUGUGGUGCACCGUCUUCCCAUAAAAGAGGAUUGCAAGCCAGUUCAGCAGAAGCUCAGAAGAAUGAGGCCUGGCAUUGUGCUAAAGAUAAAAGAAGAAGUCAAGAAGCAGUUUGAUGCUGGGUUCUUGCAAGAAGUUAAGUAUUCAGAAUGGGUAGCUAAUGUUGUCCCUGUCCCUAAGAAAGAUAGGAAGGUGCGAAUGUGUGUGGAUUAUAGGGAUUUGAACAGGGCCAGUCCAAAAGAUAAUUUUCCGUUGCCUCACAUUGAUACUUUGGUAGAUAAUACUGCAGGCUAUUCAUUGUUUUCUCAUGGACGGUUUUUCUGGAUACAAUCAAAUAAAGAUGCAUCCAGAAGAUAUGAGAAAGACCACAUUUAUCACUUUGUGGGGAACGUUCUGUUAUAAAGUGAUGUCCUUUGGAUUAAAGAAUGCGGGGGCAACUUAUCAAAGAGCUAUGGUAACUUUGUUUCAUGACAUGAUGCACAGGGAGAUUGAGGUUUAUGUUGACGAUAUGAUUGCAAAAUCUAGAACAGAAGAGAAGCAUGUUCAAGUGCUGCGAAAAUUAUUUUUGAGAUUAAGAAAUUUCCAGCUCAAGCUUAAUCCAACAAAGUGCACUUUUGGAGCUAGAUCGGGGAAGUUGUUAGGCUUCAUAGUCAGUGGGAAAAGAAUUGAAGUUGAUCCAGACAAAGUCAGGGCAAUACGUGAUUUACCUCCACCACACACACAGAAGGAAGUACGGGGUUUUUCGGGAAGAUUGAACUAUAUUUCUCGGUUUAUUUCACAACUAACUGAGAAAUGUGAUCCCCUAUUUCGUCUCCUAAAAAAACAUAAUCCGGGCGUUUGGGAUGAAGAAUGCCAGAAGGCUUUUGAUAAAAUAAAACAAUAUUUGUCUAAUCCUCCAGUACUAUCACCACCUAAUCCGGAUAGGCCAUUAAUACUGUAUCUAACAGUAUUUGACAAUUCCAUGGGGUGCGUGUUAGGCCAACAUGAUGAGACAGGGAGAAAAGAAAGGGCAAUAUACUAUCUCAGUAAGAAAUUCACAGAUUGUGAAGUGAGAUAUUCAGCUAUUGAGAAGUUAUGUUGUGCUUUGGUUUGGACAACUCGAAGAUUACGACAAUAUAUGUUGUAUCACACGACAUUACUAAUUUCAAAGUUAGACCCCUUAAAGUAUAUGAUGGAGUCGACAGCUUUAAAUGGAAGAAUGGCCAGAUGGCAGAUAUUGCUUUCUAAAUUUGACAUAGUGUAUGUGAGUCAGAAGGCUGUGAAAGGGAGCGCAAUAGCUGACUUCUUAGCUAGCAGAGCCUUGGUGGAUUAUGAGCCUUUGAACUUUGAUUUCCCAAAUGAGGAUUUGAUGUAUGUGACAACUGCUGAAGAAAAUCCCCAAAUGGAUCAGGUGUGGAAGUUAAAUUUUGAUGGAGCCUCAAAUGCUGUGGGUAAUGGAAUUAGGGCAGUCCUAAUAUCUCCAAGCGGAGAUCAUUAUCCUUUUGCUAGCAAGCUGGAUUUUGAUUGCACAAAUAAUAUGGAAGAGUAUGAAGCGUGCAUUAUGGGCAUUCGUGCAGCCAUCGAGCGUAAAAUCAAAAUGUUAGAAGUGUAUGGGGAUUCUGCACUAGUGAUAUAUCAACUCAAGGGAGAAUGGGAAACAAGGGAAUCUAAACUGAUCAGUUAUCGAAAGAUGGUUCUUGAAUUGAUGGACGAGUUUGAUGACAUUACUUUUUGUUAUCUUCCACGAGAUGAGAAUCAGAUGGCUGAUGCGUUGGCUACCUUAGCCUCCAUGAUCCGAGUGAAUAGGUUAGAGGACAUGAAGCCUAUCCAGAUGAGUAUUUUUGAAACCCCGGCUCAUUGCUAUAAUGUCGAGGAAGAGGGGAAGGAUGAUCAUCCCUGGUAUUUGAAUAUAUUACGAUAUAUAAAGAAUCGUGAGUAUCCAGACCAGGCAACAGAGAAUGAUGAAAGAGCACUGAGAAGAUUGGCUAUUGACUAUGUUCUAGAUGGAGAAAUCCUGUACAAAAAAGAGAAGGAUCAAGUAUUGUUAAGAUGUGUGGAUGCAGUAGAAGCUAGAAAAAUUCUAGAAGAAGCCCAUGAAGGUAUCUGUGGCACACAUGCGAAUGGUUUCACAAUGGCCAGGCAGAUCAUGAGGUUUGGGUAUUAUUGGUCUACUUUGGAAAGGGAUUGCAUCAGCUAUGCUAAGAAGUGCCAUAAAUGCCAAAUUUAUGGUGAUAAAAGGCAUGCACCUCCUUCACCUCUUCAUGUUAUGACUUCUCCAUGGCCUUUCUCUAUGUGGGGUAUGGACGUCAUUGGGUCAAUAUCGCCCAAAGCUUCUAACGGGCAUCGCUUCAUCUUUGUGGUUAUUGGCUACUUUACCAAAUGGGUGGAGGCUGCUUCAUAUGCAAACGUCACGAAGCCAGCAGUUAGCAAAUUCUUGAAAAAGGAAAUCAUAUGUCGAUAUGGAAUGCCUGAGAGGAUCAUAUCUGAUAAUGCACUGAAUUUGAACAAUAGUGCAAUAGCGGAGGUCUGCAGUCAAUUCGGGAUCAGACAUCAUAACUCAUCGUCAUACCGCCCAAAGAUGAAUGGUGCAGCAGAAGUAGCUAAUAAGAAUAUCAAGAAAAUUGUGGGAAAGAUGACCGAGACUUAUAGGGAUUGGCAUGAGAAAUUACCAUUUGCUCUCUUUGCUUAUAGAACGUCUGUCAGGACGUCGACUUGGGCAACACCUUUCUCUUUGGUUUAUGGCAUGGAAGCAGUUUUACCUAUUGAGAUAGAAAUUCCUUCUCUCCGAGUAUUAUCUGAGUUGAAAUUGGAUGAGGCAGAAUGGGUUCAAUCUCGUUAUGAUCAAUUGAACUUAAUUGAAGGGAAAAGGCUAAAAGCUGUUCGGCAUGGUCAAAUGUAUCAAAAACGGAUGAUGUGGGCCUACAACAAAAAAGUUCGUCCUAGAGAAUUUAAUGAGGAGGAGCUGGUGUUGAAAAGAGUCUUUCCUAUACAAAAGGAUUUCAGAGGGAAAUGGAUGCCAAAUUGGGAAGGUCCAUAUGUUUUAAAGAAAGCUUUUUCAGGGGGAGCUUUGAUUUUGAGUGAGAUGGAUGGCAAGGACUUGCCAAACCCUGUAAACUCGGAUUCAGUUAAGAAAUACUUUUCUUAAAAAAAAGAAAGAAAGAAAGAAAAAAAAAGGAAAAGGAGAGGCCAAUGCGAAAACCCGUAAAGGGCACUUUGAGACCAAAGGGGAUUCGAGUUGAAAACCCAGAAAAGGGCGGCUCAAAUGCUGAUCAGGUGACGCAUUCGGUGAUCUUGCAAUGAUUGAACCAGUAGGAAAGGGGACGAAACAUCUUGGGGCAUCGACAAAGUACUGUAGAUCUUCUAAGCACAUGUCGGAUUCAGAGUGGUCUUCAGGAAGUCUGUGCAGAGAAGUUCAAACUGCAAUAUCUGGGACACCUAGUCUUCAUAUUAUUUAUAUUGAAUUUCUUAUUCUUUGAAUACUUUAUCCUUUUCCAAGAUACGAGUCAAUUCCUCUUUUAUUCUCAAUAUUAUUGAUAAUUUAUUCAUUUCGAGCUAUGCUCUCAAUUCAAUUCUAUCUAUUCAUUGUUUUUUUCUUUUGGCAAAGCAUGUUGCAUUAGAAUAACGAUUAAUAGAGUAAUAAAACUUUUACAAAGGAUUUUUCAUUAUUACUUUGGAGGUUUCUAAAUAAUAUGGGAACCUGAAACAUGACUAUUGUUUAUAACACACUUGGUUUAAAGGUGGGAAAUCUGAGAGGGAAGAGUCUAAAUUAAGACUAUCUCUUUGGAUUUUAUUGUCAAAAGCAUUGAUUAAACAAAAUGACAAGAUGUCGUGUUGGUGACAAAGCGUCAAUGAACCAAUAAGCAAUGAUCACCUUGUAAUAAAAGGAUGCUUUCUCGGAGAAGAAAAUCUUUCAUUUGUGCAUAGGCAUUUGGUAUGACAUCCUAAGAAUGGUAUAGAAGUCCAAAGUGCUUCACAUUGCGAUAAGAGAAGAUCGAGAAGUCAUGUUUUUCUACCCUUGGGUUACAGUGAGAAGAUGAUACAAAUUUUGUGUCCCAGUAGAUUAAACCCUGAAGUUUACAGUGGGGGCAGGUUGAUUAAGUGUUUCUUCGAAAAUGCUAGCUGAACAAGAGGAUUUCUAGUGCGUCGGUGAUAAAGUCUUAGUAAACUUUGAGUAAUGCUAACCUAAGCGGGGUCAUUCUCUAAAAAUAAUAUUUUACAUUCAUUCAUACACGCUUAGUUAGGAGCAUUUGAUUUAUUCUAAUCAUGACAUCCAUUAGGCAUAAUUAGGUUCAUAAAUUGAAUUAUACAGGUCAUGUUCCCCAGAGAACAAACCGGUGAAACAGUCUUAUCUCCCUGAAGUUGCAGUGGAGCAGACAGAAGAAAUCAAUCCUAUCUCCCUGAAGUUACAGUGGAGCGGAUUAACAUUCAAAUCUUAUCUCCCUGAAGUUACAGUGGAGCAGACAGAAGAAAUCAAUCCUAUCUCCCUAAAGUUGCAGUGGAGCGGAUUAACAUCCAGAUCUUAUCUUUCUGAGGUUGCAGAGAGCAGAUCGCAUCCAGUCUUAUCUCCCUGAAGUUGCAGGGGAGCAGACAGAAGAAAUCAAUCCUAUCUCCCUGAAGUUGCAGUGGAGCGGAUUAACAUCCAGAUCUUAUCUUUCUGAGGUUGCAGAGAGCAGAUCGCAUCCAAUCUUAUCUCCCUGAAGUUGCAGGGGAGCAAACAGAAGAAAUCAAUCCUAUCUCCCUGAAGUUGCAGUGGAGCGGAUUAACAUCCAGAUCUUAUCUUUCUGAGGUUGCAGAGAGCAGAUCACAUCCAGAUCUUAUCUCCCUAAAGUUGUAGUGGAGUAGACAGAAGAAAUCAAUCCUAUCUCCCUGAAGUUGCAGUGGAGCGGAUUAACAUCCAGAUCUUAUCUUUCAGAGGUUGCAGAGAGCAGAUCGCAUCUAGUCUUAUCUCCCUGAAGUUGCAGUGGAGCAGACUAAAAAUAGCAAAUUUUAUUCUUUUAAGAAGCUACAAGGUACAAGUCCUACCUCAUUGAUGUUGCAGUGGAGUAGAUUGAAGCACCGAUUCCUAUACCUCUGAAGACGCAGUAGGUUGGAAUGAGGCUACUUGAAGAGCGCCAAGGUCCAACAUGACCGGGCAAAAUUGGGCUUUUUAGUCUUUGCUCUGUUCCCGUUACACGUCAACGAGCAAAGAGGGGUAGCUGUGAUACCCAAUUAUUGCCCGAAGCCCAAAACAGAAACUAAAACCAAACACAAUUACAAAUUUAAUAAAACGUGGCCCAAGUUACAAGCCCAUCUGUUAGUCCAAAUUACAGCCCAAGCUAUUGAACUAUUUCAGCAGAAAAAAACUGAACCCUAGCAGCAGUUUCUUCGGCGCUGCAGCAAUUGCCCAUGUCGC